rnacentral:rRNA from 1 species
CCAGUGCGCAGCUAUACAUGCAAGUCGAGCGAAUCUGAGGGAGCUUGCUCCCCAAAGAUUAGCGGCGGACGGGUGAGUAACACGUGGGUAACCUGCCUGUAAGAUUGGGAUAACUCCGGGAAACCGGAGCUAAUACCGGAUAAUAAUUUUGAACCGCAUGGUUCAAAUUUUGAAAGAUGGCUUCGGCUAUCACUUACAGAUGGACCCGCGGCGCAUUAACUAGUUGGUGAGGUAACGGCUCACCAAGGCAACGAUGCGUAACCCACCUGAGAGGGUGAUCGGCCACACUGGGACUGAAACACGGCCCAGACUCCUACGGGAGGCAGCAGUAGGGAAUCUUCCGCAAUGGACGAAAGUCUGACGGAACAACGCCCCGUGAACGAUGAAGGCCUUCGGGUCGUAAAGUUCUGUUGUUAGGGAAGAACAAGUGCUAGAGUAACUGCUAGCACCUUGACGGUACCUAACCAGAAAGCCACGGCUAACUACGUGCCAGCAGCCGCGGUAAUAUCCUAAGUGGCCAGCGCUUGUCCGGGAAUUAUAUGGGGCGUAAAGCGGCGCGCCAAGGCGGUUUCUCUAAGUUCUUGAAUUGUGAAAGCCCCACGGCUUCAACCCGUGGAGGGUCAUUGGGAAACUGGGGGAACUUUGAGUGGCAGAAGAAGGGAAGUGGAAUUCCCACGUGUAGCGGUGAAAUGCGUAGAAGAUGGUGGAGGAACCACCAGUGGGCGAAAGGCGACUCUUCUGGUCUGUAACUGACGCCUGAGGCGCGAAAGCCGUGGGGGAGCGAACAGGAUUUAGAUACCCUGGGUAGUCCACGCCGUAAACGAUGAGUGGCUAAGUGGUUAAGAGGGUUCCGCCCUUUAGGUGGCUGGCAGGCAACGCAUUAAGCACUCCCGCCCUGGGGAAGAUACGGUCCGCAAGAACUGAAACUCAAAGGAAAUUGACGGGCCCGCCACAAGCGGUUGGAGCCAUGGUGGUUAAUCGGAGCACGCGGAGAACUUACAGUCUGACAUCGUGCUACUUAAGAUAGAGGUUCCCUCAGGGACGAUGACAGGUGUGCCAUGGAUGUCUCACCUGUCUGGAAGUUGUAGUCCGCACAGGCACUGACGUAUACAGCAUACC